GGGAGCCGGAGGGAAACCGAGUCUUAAUUGGGCGUUAAGUUGCAGGGUAUAGACCCGAAACCCGGUGAUCUAGCCAUGGGCAGGUUGAAGGUUGGGUAACACUAACUGGAGGACCGAACCGACUAAUGUUGAAAAAUUAGCGGAUGACCUGUGGCUGGGGGUGAAAGGCCAAUCAAACCGGGAGAUAGCUGGUUCUCCCCGAAAGCUAUUUAGGUAGCGCCUCGUGAAUUCAUCUCCGGGGGUAGAGCACUGUUUCGGCUAGGGGGCCAUCCCGGCUUACCAACCCGAUGCAAACUGCGAAUACCGGAGAAUGUUAUCACGGGAGACACACGGCGGGUGCUAACGUCCGUCGUGAAGAGGGAAACAACCCAGACCGCCAGCUAAGGUCCCAAAGUCAUGGUUAAGUGGGAAACGAUGUGGGAAGGCCCAGACAGCCAGGAUGUUGGCUUAGAAGCAGCCAUCAUUUAAAGAAAGCGUAAUAGCUCACUGGUCGAGUCGGCCUGCGCGGAAGAUGUAACGGGGCUAAACCAUGCACCGAAGCUGCGGCAGCGACACUGUGUGUUGUUGGGUAGGGGAGCGUUCUGUAAGCCUGUGAAGGUGUGUCGUGAGGCAUGCUGGAGGUAUCAGAAGUGCGAAUGCUGACAUAAGUAACGAUAAAGCGGGUGAAAAGCCCGCUCGCCGGAAGACCAAGGGUUCCUGUCCAACGUUAAUCGGGGCAGGGUGAGUCGACCCCUAAGGCGAGGCCGAAAGGCGUAGUCGAUGGGAAACGGGUUAAUAUUCCCGUACUUGGUGUUACUGCGAAGGGGGGACGGAGAAGGCUAUGUUGGCCGGGCGACGGUUGUCCCGGUUUAAGCGUGUAGGUGUGUGUUCCAGGUAAAUCCGGUUCACUUUAACACUGAGGCGUGACGACGAGGCACUACGGUGCUGAAGCAACAAAUGCCCUGCUUCCAGGAAAAGCCUCUAAGCAUCAGGUAACAUCAAAUCGUACCCCAAACCGACACAGGUGGUCAGGUAGAGAAUACCAAGGCGCUUGAGAGAACUCGGGUGAAGGAACUAGGCAAAAUGGUGCCGUAACUUCGGGAGAAGGCACGCUGACACGUAGGUGAAGUGAUUUACUCAUGGAGCUGAAGUCAGUCGAAGAUACCAGCUGGCUGCAACUGUUUAUUAAAAACACAGCACUGUGCAAACACGAAAGUGGACGUAUACGGUGUGACGCCUGCCCGGUGCCGGAAGGUUAAUUGAUGGGGUCAGCGCAAGCGAAGCUCCUGAUCGAAGCCCCGGUAAACGGCGGCCGUAACUAUAACGGUCCUAAGGUAGCGAAAUUCCUUGUCGGGUAAGUUCCGACCUGCACGAAUGGCGUAAUGAUGGCCAGGCUGUCUCCACCCGAGACUCAGUGAAAUUGAACUCGCUGUGAAGAUGCAGUGUACCCGCGGCAAGACGGAAAGACCCCGUGAACCUUUACUAUAGCUUGACACUGAACAUUGAGCCUUGAUGUGUAGGAUAGGUGGGAGGCUUUGAAGUGUGGACGCCAGUCUGCAUGGAGCCGACCUUGAAAUACCACCCUUUAAUGUUUGAUGUUCUAACGUGGACCCGUUACCCGGGUUGCGGACAGUGUCUGGUGGGUAGUUUGACUGGGGCGGUCUCCUCCUAAAGAGUAACGGAGGAGCACGAAGGUUGGCUAAUCCUGGUCGGACAUCAGGAGGUUAGUGCAAUGGCAUAAGCCAGCUUGACUGCGAGCGUGACGGCGCGAGCAGGUGCGAAAGCAGGUCAUAGUGAUCCGGUGGUUCUGAAUGGAAGGGCCAUCGCUCAACGGAUAAAAGGUACUCCGGGGAUAACAGGCUGAUACCGCCCAAGAGUUCAUAUCGACGGCGGUGUUUGGCACCUCGAUGUCGGCUCAUCACAUCCUGGGGCUGAAGUAGGUCCCAAGGGUAUGGCUGUUCGCCAUUUAAAGUGGUACGCGAGCUGGGUUUAGAACGUCGUGAGACAGUUCGGUCCCUAUCUGCCGUGGGCGCUGGAGAACUGAGGGGGGCUGCUCCUAGUACGAGAGGACCGGAGUGGACGCAUCACUGGUGUUCGGGUUGUCAUGCCAAUGGCACUGCCCGGUAGCUAAAUGCGGAAGAGAUAAGUGCUGAAAGCAUCUAAGCACGAAACUUGCCCCGA
rnacentral:rRNA from 1 species